UAACACUUCGUCCAUCUCCGGAUUCUCCGUAAAGAGUAGACUCGUACCUAACUACCAGCCAUCUUGGCUUUGAUACACCCAACGCGUGAUCCGCCUGCGUUAUAAGGCGAUAUACUACGCAUAAAAAUAGUGAUGCAAUACAUAGAAGAGUUAAAAUGGAUUUUAAGUCUGAUCUAGAAUAUGCGACGAGCAAGCUGAAGAUAGAGUUUAGUUUUAGCGACUACCAAUUGAAAGCCCUAAAGAGUCUUUAUGAUUUGAAAGAUACGAUCGCAGUUCUUCUAACUGGCUCAGGAAAAGCAUUAUUUUUCAGGGGUUCAGAUUUCUGCAAAGCGUUCAACAGACUUGGAGACCUGACAUGUUUGUUUCCCAAAAUACUUCACUUGGCACUUACAGCGACAGCAACACCAAAUGCUAUAGAAAACCUUAUUGAAAGCCUCCAAUUCAAGAACACGACAAAAGUAUUAGCCAACCCUGACUUCCCUAAUAUUUUUUGGGGAAAAAUAAGAAAGAAUGCCAAAUAUUCACAAAUAUGAAAAGUAUGAUAUGAUAAAGCGAAGAGCUGCCUGAAUUAAAAGAGCAACAUAUUGAGUUUAUAGUCACCAUAAAUUAUGUACUGUGAUAAUUUGGAAUCUCUAGGCUAUUGCUUUUAACU